ACGGACGUGGCGCAAUGGUAGCGCAUUCGAUUCCGAGUUGUGUAUUUUUCAUAGAACAUUCGAAAGGUUGCGGGUUCAAGUCCCGUCGUCCGUA
rnacentral:tRNA from 1 species